rnacentral:rRNA from 1 species
CAGUCGCCGCGGGAAUACGUAGGGUGCGAACGUCAAUCGGAAUUACUGGGCGUAAAGCGUGCGCAGGCGGUUGUGUAAGACAGGUGUGAAAUCCCCGGGCUUAACCUGGGAACUGCGCUUGUGACUGCACAGCUAGAGUAUGGCAGAGGGGGGUGGAAUUCCACGUGUAGCAGUGAAAUGCGUAGAAAUGUGGAGGAACACCGAUGGCGAAGGCAGCCCCCUGGGCCAAUACUGACGCUCAUGCACGAAAGCGUGGGGAGCAAACAGGAUUAGAGACCCCUGUAGUCCCUGUCUCUUAUAC